rfam:Mesocricetus auratus contig213912, whole genome shotgun sequence.
GGGGAUGUAGCUCAGUUAGUAAAGUGCUUGCUUUGUACACAUAAGGGCCUGGGUUCACCUCCCAGCAUCCCAU